rnacentral:rRNA from 1 species
UGUCAGGAGUUAGGAAAUGCAGGAGCGUUAAUAGCGUUCUUGCUUGACUAAGGCUCCAGAGGAAGCCACGGCUAACUCUGUGCCAGCAGCCGCGGUAAUACAGAGGCGGCAAGCGUUGUUCGGAAUUAUUGGGCGUAAAGAGCACGUAGGCGGCCUUGCAAGUCAGUUGUGAAAGCCUUCCGCUCAACGGAAGAAUGCCAGCUGAUACUACAGGGCUUGAGUACGGGAGGGGAGAGUGGAACUUCUGGUA